UGUCGAUGAAGAGCGCAGCAAACUGUGAGAAUUCAUGUGAACUGCAUGCUCAUUUGAACAUCGACAUCUUGAACGCACAUUGCGGCCACGGGUAAGCCCGUGGCCACGUCUGUCCGAGGGUCG
rnacentral:rRNA from 1 species